rnacentral:rRNA from 1 species
AACAAACGCUGGCGGCGUGCCUAAUACAUGCAAGUCGAACGGGGUAGCAAUACCUAGUGGCGCACGGGUGAGGAACACGUGGAUAAUCUGCCUUAGAGUGGGGGAUAACUAGUCGAAAGAUUAGCUAAUACCGCAUAAGACCACAGGAGCUGCGGCUCUAGGGGUCAAAGGUUUUUCGCUCUAAGAUGAGUCCGCGUAAGAUUAGCUAGUUGGUGAGGUAACGGCUCACCAAGGCGACGAUCUUUAACUGGUCUGAGAGGAUGAUCAGUCACACUGGAACUGAGACACGGUCCAGACUCCUACGGGAGGCAGCAGUAGGGAAUAUUGCACAAUGGAGGAAACUCUGAUGCAGCGACGCCGCGUGAGUGAUGAAGGCCUUCGGGUCGUAAAGCUCUGUCGCAGGGGAAUAACACAAUGAAUGUACCCUGUAAGAAAGGAUCGGCUAACUUCGUGCCAGCCGCCGCUGUAAUAC